AAUAUUUCAUAUAAUUGUUACUGCACAAUUUCAAUUGAAUUUAGCAAUUUUUCGUGAUUUUGGAAAAUUUGAAUCAAUGUUUAAUAAAAUAAGAAUUUAUAUAAGACGAUAAAAAGCAAAUGAAAUGAAUUUUAAAAAUGAAGGAAGAUAACGAAAGAUGAUAGAUGAGUUCGAGUUCGAGAAACUGGUCAUUUCGCGCGGAGGCUGAAUUUAGAGGUUAAGAGUCAGGAAGAAGAAAGCUGUGAAACACGGGUGUGUCGAAGAGUACGUUCUAGCGUAGCUGUGCGCAAGGGGAAAGAGACAGAGCGGGGCCCCUGUUUCUACCAGAUAAAAAUAGAUAUUACGAGUUUACCGCGGCGCCAAGAUUGCGGGGUAUCGCGACGAUUACGUCAUCGGUAGUAGCGCGAGUGGUUGGAGCAAGGACGCUUGUCGCGUCGGUCGCCGCCGCUGUCGCCGUCGUCGUCGUCGUCGUCGUCGUCGUCGUCGUUGUCGUGACGAACCACAAAUUUUCGUGUCUAUCUAUGAUCAUCUAUAACCAGCUUUCAGCCGUUUUCGACGAACUCGUGGCUCGCCCCAUUCAAUCAUGGCGUUUCGAUUGCAAAUGGACGCACGUGCCGCCAAAUAUAUACGGUCAUUCUCAUCAAAUGUUAUUCAAGUUGGAGAGGUUAAAUAAGAUUAAAGUAACAAAUAAAGAUGGCAAGCAUCUCUGUUUAAUUAAAUAAAUGAGUUAUUACUUAGAAAAUUUUAUUAUCCAUAAAAUUUUAAUAUAAUAUCCUAUUUUGAAAUUGUAUGCUGACAUGGAUGAUAUGAAAAUUACAUAAAUUUAUUCGCAGAGGCCAAAGACUCUGAUGUCUGAAUAGAUCAAUUGUACUUGUUAUGCUAAUUACAAAUUAUAAAAUUGUUUUAUAAUAUAUAUUAAGUAAGAUAUAUUAAGUAAGUAUAUUAUAUGAUAAAUAAUAAUAUAAUAUCGACUAUCAAUAUAUAAUUUUAUUUAAUAAUUAAUUUCUAUUAAAUUCUCAAUUAUUUUAAUAAAAACAUCUAAUAUAAAAAAAAAUUUCUUUAAAAAGUUAUGAGUUUUUAUUUAAUUUUAUGAAACUACAUUUUCAUAAAAAAAAAUAAUUUAAAACAUUUGUAAUAUCAAAAUUAUAAUAAUAUUAAAUACUAAUAAUUUAUCACAUCUUAGAAUUUUCAUCCUUGCUUACUAUUAUUCUAUUAUAUUUAGAAAUAUUGAUCAUCAGAAAAAUUACAAUAAUUAAAAACUCGUUACUUGCCUAUUACAUUCUUCAAUAUCAAGUUGUUAUCAAAUUGUUUUUUUUUAAAUUUUUUUCUUUUUUCUAUAUGUACAAUAUGAUUAGAUUUAUCGAUUAUUGACAAUUAUAGAUUUUCAGGAAUAAGAUAUUAGUCAAUUUUAAAUAUAUAAAAUCUUUCAAUCAUCUACUAACUAAAUGUAUAUUGCUAAAUAGUAUUUAUUCUACAUCAAUUUAUAGGCCAAAGCUAACCAAAUAUAACAUGAUUGGCGUUUUGUCGAUUGUUGUACUAUAAAAUGACAGAUUGUUUAUCAAAGCGUGUAAUAGAUCAAAAUAGAAUUCAUGUUUUUCUUAAACGUGUUUAAAUUUAAUGAAAUCGCAAUAAAAAUUGUUUAUGAUUAAAUGUUUAUGCAAAUUCGUAUUCUUAUGAAUGUAAUUAAAAAAAUUAAAGUAAAAAUUUUGUUAUCUUGCAAAUAUUACAUUUUUUUUAAUAAAAAACUUUUCAAAAAAUAAAAAUUUUUAAUUAAAAAAUAAAUUGUACUUUAAUUAUGAAAAUUAAAUGUUUUAUUAAAGAUUCAAUUAUUUCGUUUACAAUAAUCUAAUGAAUACCGUUAUAUCACGAUUAAUAAAUGCCGUUCGUUCAUUUUAUAUUUAUAUAUAAAUAAUUCAACGACCAUUCAACAUUGCUUACCAUUAUUGAGCUUCGCAUGUUCAGACUAGCUUUAUCGAUUACCGACGAUACUAUGAACCUCAGUAGAAAUAAAAGACGAGUAGAAAAAAAGUAUUCUUACUAGGUAGUAAACUUAAUCGAUAUUUUCAGAUUUUCUGCAAAUAUUAACCAUAAACAAUUGUUUAUGACUUUUAAAAAAUCAUUAUCAUUUAUGCUAUAUUAUGUUGAUCUGAUACAUGGUUAAUUGAAGUAAACUACCAUAACCUCUUCAAAUUCUCUCGUCGUGUUUGCAAUAAAGUUAUAUCCUUCUAGUGUGAUGUAUGAUGAAUGGACACUUAAUCACACUGACAUCUUCAAAGAAGAGUAUACUGACAUUGCAACUUUCUAUCGCGUAGCUAAAUAUUUUUAUGUUUUAUGUGUGCUUUAACUCUUUUAAAAUGAAUUUUUUCAAACUUUGGUAAUUGUAUGUUAAAUUGUACUCGAUAUUCAAUGCAAAUAAAAUGAAAAAUAUAAAUUUUGAUAAAGUUAAUUUAACUUGCAUUAAUAAAACAUAUACUUAUA